UACGUAGGGAGCAAGCGUUGUCCGGAAUCAUUGGGCGUAAAGCGCGCGUAGGCGGCUCGAUCAGUCUGUUGUGAAAGUCAAAGGCUCAACCUUUGAAUGCCGAUGGAUACUGUCGAGCUAGAGUCCGGAAGAGGCGAGUGGAAUUCCUGGUGUAGCGGUGGAAUGCGCAGAUAUCAGGAGGAACACCAGUGGCGAAGGCGGUGCUCUGGGCCGGAACUGACGCUGAGGAGCGAAAGCGUGGGGAGCAAACAGG
rnacentral:rRNA from 1 species